AGCGAACGCUGGCGGCAGGCCUAACACAUGCAAGUCGAGCGGCCGUAGCAAUACGGCAGCGGCAGACGGGAGAGUAACACGUGGGAACGCGCCCUUCGGUCUGGAAUAACCCAGGGAAACUUGGGCUAAUACCGGAUACGCCCUUACGGGGAAAGAUUUAUUGCCGAAGGAACGGCCCGCGUCCGAUUAGCUAGUUGGCGAGGUAACGGCUCACUAAGGCGACGAUCGGUAGCUGGUCUGAGAGGAUGACCAGCCUCACUGGGACUGAGACACGGCCCGGACUCCUACGGGAGGCAGCAGUGGGGAAUAUUGGACAAUGGGCGCAAGCCUGAUCCAGCCAUGCCGCGUGGGUGAUGAAGGCCCUAGGGUUGUAAAGCCCUUUCAGCGGGGAAGAUAAUGACGGUACCCGCAGAAGAAGCCCCGGCUAACUUCGUGCCAGCCGCCGCCGUAACAC
rnacentral:rRNA from 1 species